rnacentral:rRNA from 1 species
UACGAAGGGAGCUAGCGUUGUUCGGAAUCACUGGGCGUAAAGCGCACGUAGGCGGAUGUGUCAGUCAGGGGUGAAAUCCCGGAGCUCAACUUCGGAACUGCCUUUGAUACAGCACGUCUUGAGUCCGAUAGAGGUGGGUGGAAUUCCUAGUGUAGAGGUGAAAUUCGUAGAUAUUCGCAAGAACACCAGUGGCGAAGGCGGCUCACUGGCCCGGUAUUGACGCUGAGGUGCGAAAGCGUGGGGAGCAAACAGG